rnacentral:lncRNA from 1 species
UUCUCUUUGGUGUUGUGGUCUCUGUUAUUUUGGUAUAUGGAUUUUGCCUUAGUUUUGUUUGUAUUGCGCGGGUGAUUCGGUUUUGUUGGUAUUGUUUUGGUGAUUGUUGUGCUUCUUUCUUACCAGUUUCCUUCUUGAUCAAGUUUGUCUAGGGUUUUGGCGAAUUAUAUGAUGUUUGCGAUGGAUUGGUGUGGUUUUCUUGGAUUUUCGGAUUGCUAAUUCAGAAUAACCUAAUUUCUUUUCCAAUUUCCUUUCUAUUAUUUAGCUUCUCUGGUAUUGAUGACCGAUUAUUUUCUUAUGCGUUUAUUCGUGACUGGCUAUUUGAUGUCGGAGACUUAUCAAUUUGGUGUGUUAUUUGUGUUUAUUCCUAUUUGGUGUGUUUAUCCUGAUUUCUCGAUGAGUUUCCUUUCUAUUACGUAAUUUCUCUUGAUUUGAUCACCAAACGUCGGAUUGAAUUUUCAAUUGUUUCUCUACGCAGCGUUGUUUGGAUUAUUUCCGUUUAGUGUUAUCAGCAUCUCAUGGAGCAUGUUAUGAGCGACCGUGUCUCCCUUGGUUUUUUUAAUUCUUAAAUUGAUCUAAUUUUUUAUAAACUGUGUCCUCUAUUACCAGUUAUAGUAUUACCAGUUAUAGUUUUCUUGAAUUCUUGUUCUUUGCAGAGAUGUGAGAGAUGUGUGGGUUAGGAUGUGCAAAACAGUGGCGGGAGAUUCCUUGAACAGUGAAGCAUUAGUUGUUCUUUUUACUCUUACAUUAAUUUUUUCUUUUGCAUUAAUUCUUGAUUGGAUGAACUUUCGGGUUUAUUUUUAUUUUUUUCUUCUUAGGCAUAACCAAAUUUAUAAUGGAAGGCCAAAGAAUCUCCAAUUUUAGGAGAUGAUCAUGACCACUGGAUGGAAUAAUGACAUUUGUUCUUUUAGCAGUUUCUACUAUGGUGAUCUUUAGGGAUAAAUUGAAAAGGGUAACAAGUAUAAGUAAAUUUAUUUUUUUCUUUGAUUACACAUUUGUUGGUUUCUUGACAUUUUGUGAACCCUUUUUUCUUGCAGUGUGAUUGGAGUAGUUUUGGGUCGGUAUUCUAUUUGAACUGGAUUUUGUAUUCUCAAAUUUGCUUUGUGUUUCCACUUCUCGUCGGUCUAGUAUGUUAUUCCCACCGCUUCAUACCAAGCUCUAACUUUAUGCCUGGUGUUCUGUUGAUAUUUCCAUAUCAGGAAUGGUUUGGAUAUGUUUUGAGUACUACGAUCUUCAAUGUGCUGGGGAUUAAACGUGAAAUGGCAACUGCACAAAAUAACAUAAUUUCUUGAAAUGUUUCCUCUACUAUUAUUUAACUUCGCUGGUAUUGAUAACCGAACAUUUGGAUUGAAUUGUGAUUUCUUUCGAUGCAGCAGGUUUGUCUUAAUCGAGCCUUCUGCGAAUACGUCUGCAUUGGUUUUUGUAUUCUUGAAUUUAUUAAUUCAUUUUAUCUUUUCUUAAAUUCUUGGUCUUUACGUGCAAGACAAGCAAUGGAUGUGGAAACUUUAGAAGGAGAUCCUAUGAAGCUUUAGGUUUUAUUACCCUUACAUCUUCUGAUGCGUUUAUAUUUACAUUGACGGAUAUCCAUUUGAAUUUGAAUACAGUUCUUCAUUUGAUUACGUCUAGGUGUUGAACUGUUUAUGUGUAGGUGUUGAACUGUUUAUGUUCAUUCCUUUCUUGCUUGUCGAGAAUCUAAGAUUGGUGGAGGAUUAAAAUCCCGCAGUGUUUACAUCGACCAACGAUUCAGGAUUACCUGAGUUCUUUUGAGUUUUCUUCUAUUUUUGACUUUCGGGAUUUUAUAACCUAAUAUGAUCACUCCUAAUUGUUUUCUUGAAUUGUUCGGCCUUACUGGGAACACAAUCGUGACUGACUUGUGAGCUAGGAUGUGGAAACUUUAGCCAGGGAAUCUGUGAAGCUUUAGGUUUUGCUUUCUUUUCUAUUAUCAUUUAUUGUUUAUGAAUAUCAGACUCUAACAAUAAAAAGUCACCUUAAUUGUCAGAUUUGCUCUUCUUUCUCUUUGAAAUGUCCUCUUGUAUGAGACUUCAUUUGCUGGAUGAGCAUUUAUAAAUUUAAAUGCUUGAUUUUUGCUCAAUCUUAAUCCCUUGCUGAUUUUAAACAGAACUGCUUUCAGAAUAAGAAUUGUUUGAGCGCUAUCAUCUACAUUGAAACGACAACUGCUCAAGAUAACUUUAAUUUCUUCUACUAUUUAACUUCGCUGGACUUGAUCAACGAACAUUAGGAUUGAAUUGUGAUUUGUUUCUCUGCAGAAGUGUUUAUAUUAGAUUCGUGCAGUGUACCUGCAUCUUAUAUAGUCUCUCGGAUCCUGUGGAGCUUUAGGUUUUGUUACCCACACAUUUCCUAAUGUGUUUUAUUUCUGGCAUUUGAUCACCUGACAUAAGGAUUUAACUGCCAUUUGUUUCUUCAGAGGUGUUUCGGUAUCUUUCGUUUCUACAUUUCGUUGGUCUAGCAUCAGUAUAUUUCUCCAGUAGUUCUGCUUGGCCUAGCAUCAAUAUUUCACCAAUAGUUCUGCUUGAUUUGGGUCGCUCUCAUUGAACUGAAGUCCAUCAAAUAUAAAAUGUUAGACAUUGAGUUCAAAUUAAGAUUAGCAUAUCAUGGAGCAUGUUAUGAGCGAUCUUGUCUGCCUUGUUUUUUUAAUUCUUAAAUUUAUAUAAUUUGUUCUAAACUUAGUCCUCUAUUACCAGUUAUAGUUUUCUUGAAUUCUUGUUCUUUGUAGAGAUGUGUGGGAUAGGAUGUGCAAAACAGUGGCAGGAGAUUCCUUUAACAAUGAAACAUUAGUAGUUCUUUUUACUCUUACAUUACUUUUUUUUUCUGUUGCAUUAAUUCUUGAUUGGAUGAACUUCUCGGUUUUAUUUUUAUUUUUUUCUUCUUAGGCAUAACCAAAUUUAUAAUGGAAGACCAAAGAAUAUCCAAUUUUAGCAGAUGAUCAUGACCACUGGAUGACAUUUGUUCUUGUAUCAGUUUGCUCUAUGGUGAUCUUUAGGGUAUCAAUAAAUUGAAAAGGGUAACAAGUAUAGGUAAAUUUAAGAUUGUUUUUAUUACGCAUUUUGUUGGUUUCUUUAAGGUUUUUGUGAACCUUUUUUUCUUGCAGUGUUCGUUCGACUAGUUUUGGGUCUGUACUCUAUUUUAGAAUGGAUUUUGGUGAUCUUUAGGGUAUGAAUACUUGUUAACGGUAACAAGUAUAGGUAAAUAUAAGAUUUUUUUUAUUAUGCAUUUGUUGGUUUCUUCUUGACAAUUUUGUGAACCAUUUUUUCUUGCAGUGUUCGUUCGACUAGUUUUGGGUCGGUAUUCUAUUUUAGAAUGGAUUUUGGUGAUCUUUAGGUAUGAAUAAAUUGAAAAGGGUAACAAAUGUAGGUAAAUUAACGAUUUUUUUUUAUUACGCAUAUUGUUGGUUUCUUGACGAUUUUGUGAACCUUUUUUUCUUGCAGUGUUCGGUCGACUAGUUUUGGGUCAGUAUUCUAUUUUAGACUGGAUUUUGUAUGCUCAAAUUUGCUUUCUGUUUCCACUUUUCCUCGGUCUAGUAUGUUCUUCCCUCCCCUUCAGUGAGUGUGUGGUUGGUUGUUGAUGCAGUAGGUGUCUUCUUACAUGAUUUGGUGAUCUCCACUAUUUAUCCUGAAUCUUGGAUUUUAAUUUGUACUACACACUGACCUCUAUCUUAUUGCUGGUUAUAUUUCUCAAUUUUAAUCCCUUGAUGAUUUGUUCAGUCUCAAAAAAAGCUCUAUAUUAGGUAAAUUUUAUGCCCGGUUCUAUUGUGUGAUCAUUCUGAACUUUUUCUUCUGUGAGUUUUGUUUUUUCCUUAUAUCCGUAUCAGGAAUGGUUCCAAUCUUCUGUGGAGUGGAGUAGUUUGAGCAACAAUAUUAGUUUGCAAUUGGAGGAUUACUCUCGGUACUUUUUAAUAUGAUCUAUACUAGUAUUUCCAAUUUAAUUGGAUAUCUUUUUUCUUAACAGUGCUUUUGGAAUAUAUGUUUGAGUACUACGAUCUACAUGAAGCUGGGUAUUAACAAUCAUUUCUGGAAUAUAUAGCAUAAUUUCUUCUAACUACUAUCAGUUGCCUGCUCAAGAUAAACUAAUUUCCUCUACUAUUAUUUAACUUCGCUGGAGUUGGUAACCGAACAUUUGGAUUGAAUUGUGUUUUCUUUCGCUGCAGCAGUUUUGUAUUAAUUUUGUGUACUGGGUGUGGAAAUUUUAGAAGACAAGUUCCGAGAGUUAUUGGCGUGGAAACUUUAGCAGGAGACCCUCUGAGCUCUAGGUUUUGUUACCAUUACAUUUUCUGAUGCGUUUUUUUUUUGCAAGGAUAUCUAUUUUGAAUUUGCGCGUCGAAAUAAGAUUGUUCGAGUAUUAAAAUCCUAAAUUUGUUUUUUUGGGAUUUGAUCACCUAACAUACAUGAUCACUGAAUUGUCAUUUGUUCCACCAUUUAUCUCAUCGAGCAUGCUGAAAGAUGACAUCUCCUUUUGAUGCUGUUUCCUUUUUGUUUUGAAGUUGUCUUAUUGUUUCUAUUCUUAGUCUUUUGAUUAGUGAAAUCUAUCAAAUCUAGCUGUUUGAUCUGUGAUUAUGUUCAUUCCUUUUCAGGUUAAAAAAUAAUUCUAAUGUUGAGGGGUAAUAUAAUUUUUUGGAUGAGUUUCCUUUCUGUCAUUUAAUAUCUUUGGACUGGAUCAUCAAAUAUAAGGAUUCAAUUGUGAUUUGUUUUCCGCAGCAAUGUUUGGUGGAUUUGUUUCGUGUAACAUUCCUCUCAUCGAGGAAAUCUUACAAGUGAAGACAUCUCCCUCUGAUUUUUCUACUUUGUAGUUUUCUUCAAUUUUUGGGCCUUACGGGGAAGACAACCAACUGAUAUGUGAGCUAGGAUGUGGAAGCCAGGGGAUCUGUGAUGCUUUAGGUUUUGUUACCCUUGCUUUUCUUAUGUCUUAAUCUUUGACUAGUUAAACUUAUGAUGCUUUAAUUUAAAGUCUUGUGUGAUUUAAUUUUGUAAAAGGGAAAGAGAAGAUAUGAGGGAAACAAAAUAUCAUGGCCAUUACAGUUUUGUCUCGAAGCUAUUUUUAAUUUAGACCUGCCGUUUCUCGAAGCUAUUUUUCUCAUCGCAAAAUUUAAUCCUCUUACUUUGCUUUCUUUUGUAUUUUCAUUUAUUGUUUAUGAAUAUCAGACUAUAACAAUAGUAAGUCACCUUAAUUGUCAGAUUUGCCUCUCUGAAUUGCUCAAUCGUAAUCCCUUGCUGUUUUUAAACAGCACUGUUUUGGAAUAGGAUUUGUUUGAGCGUGUUAUCAUCUACAUGAAGCUGGAACGUGAAACGGCAACUGCUCAAGAUAACCUUCUACGAGUUCGCCGGACUUGAUCAUCUAACAUUAGGAUUGUAUUCCUCUCUAUUAUUAUGUUUCUCUGCACUCGAUCACCGAACAUAAAGUUAUAAAUAAUUUGCGCCUAUUAACAUUUAUUUGUUUUUAUUUCUUUUACCCUUUUGGGAUCUUUUUUUUUGUACUACAGUGAUCCUCCUUUAAAUUGACAUAAAAUGGUGGUUGAAUAUAGAAAGAAAAACUCUUGCUAUGGAUAGGUCUGCAUCUUUGGAAGGUUAAAUUUCUUAUGCCGUAUUCCAAAUUCUAUUAAAAUUUCUCUCAAUG